rnacentral:lncRNA from 1 species
CACUUGGAAUACUUAAGGGUGUGAUUGGCCAUCGCUAUUGAAGAACAAAAUCUGCCACCUAUUCAGCUUUGUCUACAUUGGCAUAAUUUCAGAUACCCUCAACAUUGGCAUCUUUUGGAUGGUAUAUUGUGGACAAUCCCAUUCAGCUCUGUCUACAUUUUGGAUAGUAUAUUGUUGCUUGCACUUUCGAGAUUUUAAUAGCCUCAAAUCAAUGUAAUUAUUGUUGCAAGGAUUGAUUAAGUUUCCACUGCAGACAAAAGAAAAAACAAGAUUUUGUUAUGAUUAUGGGAAAUGCUUUAAUGGGAGAUUGAUUAAAUUUGGGUAAUUUCUCUGUUUUGUUGCGUUAACCAAUUUCUUGUUGAGCUUUCAGUUAAUUGUCUGCACAGAACAAAAAACAAAAUGGAAAAGGU